AGUGAACGCUGGCGGUAGGCCUAACACAUGCAAGUCGAACGGCAGCACAGUAAGAGCUUGCUCUUACGGGUGGCGAGUGGCGGACGGGUGAGGAAUACAUCGGAAUCUACUUUUUCGUGGGGGAUAACGUAGGGAAACUUACGCUAAUACCGCAUACGACCUACGGGUGAAAGCAGGGGAUCUUCGGACCUUGCGCGAUUGAAUGAGCCGAUGUCGGAUUAGCUAGUGGGCGGGGUAAAGGCCCACCAAGGCGACGAUCCGUAGCUGGUCUGAGAGGAUGAUCAGCCACACUGGAACGUGGACACGGUCCAGACUCCUACGGGAGGCAGCAGUGGGGAAUAUUGGACAAUGGUCGCAAGCCUUAUCCAGCCAUACCGCGUGGGUGAAGAAGGCCUUCGGGUUGUAAAGCCCUUUUGUUGGGAAAGAAAAGCAGCAGGUUAAUACCCCGCUGUUCUGACGGUACCCAAAGAAUAAGCACCGGCUAACUUCGUG
rnacentral:rRNA from 1 species